rnacentral:rRNA from 1 species
AUUGAACGCUGGCGGCAGGCCUAACACAUGCAAGUCGAGCGGAUGAAGGGAGCUUGCUCCUGGAUUCAGCGGCGGACGGGUGAGGAAUGCCUAGGAAUCUGCCUGGUAGUGGGGGAUAACGUCCGGAAACGGGCGCUAAUACCGCAUACGUCCUGAGGGAGAAAGUGGGGGAUCUUCGGACCUCACGCUACCAGAUGAGCCUAGGUCGGAUUAGCUAGUUGGUGGGGUAAAGGCCUACCAAGGCGACGAUCCGCAACUGGUCUGAGAGGAUGAUCAGUCACACUGGAACUGAGACACGGUCCAGACUCCUACGGGAGGCAGCAGUGGGGAAUAUUGGACAAUGGGCGAAAGCCUGAUCCAGCCAUGCCGCGUGUGUGAAGAAGGUCUUCGGAUUGUAAAGCACUUUAAGUUGGGAGGAAGGGCAGUAAGUUAAUACCUUGCUGUUUUGACGUUACCAACAGAAUAAGCACCGGCUAACUUCGUG